AGAACACCCCACUAAGUUUUUGGGAGUUCUUAUUUUCGUCGCUGAAAUUUUGUUGAUUCGCGACUAUUUUGAGUCAGAGUGGUGUUGGAAUUCGUCACGUCCAUGCUCGAGUUCCAGUCGCUGCAUAGAACCAGAUUUUAUUCCUCUCUCAAAUGCAAAUCAAUCGGCAAGUGGACAAAGUGGUUUUUUAGAAUUUAACUAUGAGAGGGCAAUGAGAAGGUGAAAUUUGUUUUUCUGAAAGCCAUCACCCAUUUGUACGUGGUAUUACAGGAAACAAAAAUGUUUCAAACUCCAUUAGUCUAAAGGAUCUCUCUCAAUACUUUCUAUUCACAUUAACUUUCCAAGCUUGUUCACGAAUUGUUCCUGUAAUUUUCAGGUUUUCGAUGAAGAUGGUAUGUAGUGAUACUGAAGAAUCACUUUAACUCGAUUGUUUAUCAGACAUGACAUUUGAGAACCUCGAGGAAGGUUAAGCAAGAAAAUUUUAUAUGAAGAAUGUCUGAGAUGCUGUUUAUCAAGAUUUUAUUAUCCAACUCCCCGGUGUUGGAGAGAACGCUAAUAGAUUGAUAGUUUCUUGAUCAAGAAUUUCGUGACACAAGAUUAUAACUUUUCAUUGAAAUCUCAAAUUUUUUCUUGUGCAUUACGUAGAGCAAAAAUUGUCUAUAUAGAUUUAAGAUGAUCUCAAUCUUUUGCUUAGAAGUUUAAACUCAAACGGGAGAAAGAGAUGUUGAUUUAGUAUUAUCAAAAGUGAUUCUGCGCAA